CACGUAGGCGGAUCAGAAAGUCAGAGGUGAAAUCCCAGGGCUCAACCUUGGAACUGCCUUUGAAACUCCUGGUCUUGAGGUCGAGAGAGGUGAGUGGAAUUCCGAGUGUAGAGGUGAAAUUCGUAGAUAUUCGGAGGAACACCAGUGGCGAAGGCGGCUCACUGGCUCGAUACUGACGCUGAGGUGCGAAAGCGUGGGAGCAAACA
rnacentral:rRNA from 1 species